rnacentral:rRNA from 1 species
UACGGGGGGAGCAAGCGUUGUUCGGAUUUACUGGGCGUAAAGGGCGCGUAGGCGGUCGUGACAAGUCACUUGUGAAAUCUCCGGGCUUAACUCGGAACGGUCAAGUGAUACCGUCGGACUAGAGUACAGAAGGGGCAACUGGAAUUCUCGGUGUAGCGGUGAAAUGCGUAGAUAUCGAGAGGAACACCUGCGGCGAAGGCGGGUUGCUGGGCUGAUACUGACGCUGAGGCGCGAAAGCGUGGGGAGCGAACAGG